AGGCCAGUAGCUCAACUGGUAGAGCGGCGGUCUCCAAAACCGCAGGUUGGGGGUUCGAUUCCCUCCUGGCCUGCCA
rnacentral:tRNA from 1 species